rnacentral:lncRNA from 1 species
GAAUUAUUAAAGUAAACAAUUCAGGUAAAGUUAAGUUGGAGUGGCAAAACAACUUAAGAUGGAGGUGAGUUAGUAGAACUGAGUGAUGGUUGGCAAUGACAGAAGAGAACCAUGGUUCCCAAGCUGGGGGGUGGGAUGAAUCUGUAGGUCACAAUCCCAGGUGGGUCUUUCCUCGGCUCCCAGAUGGUAGGGAUGCUCUGAAACACAAGAACAGAUAUAUGAGGAGUGGCAAGAGGACCAGUAAUCCAGGUGAGCCACAGGUUGCUUCAGCUGUGCCAUCCAGCCCUGAGCACCUGGUGCAAGCAUUCCUUUCCGCUUUACCAGGAGAUGCACCACUUCCUUAGUUUGGGUUCCUCUUUGCUUCCUCUGGCACCCUUGGCUUCUCUUAGGAAAAUUCUCCCUGAUGGUAAAAAUGGAAAUGCC